GUUGUUCCAACUCCUGUUCCAAUAUUACACCAGGAUGGAGAUGAGAGAGAAGAAGAUAAAUACAUAGAGAAGUAGACAAAUUUUACCUCACUUCAUCCUAAAUUUUAUAGCUAGUGAUAAGUGGAUUAUUCCAUUUUAAAUAUCUUCCUUCAUAUUGAUAUCAGUGAGUUGAUUGAAACAAUUUUGCUCCUUAUACAUCUAUAUGUUACAAAAUAUUAAUAUAACAGCCUAAUAUUUGUAAAAAAAAUUUAAAAAAAAUAACGGCUAUAUUUAUUAUCCUGUACUUGUGGCAAUAGUUUAG